UCUCUUUAAAUAAAAAGAGCGUGAAUAAAGAAGAGGCUAAUCCAGUUCAGACAAAGAGAUUCUCGGAGAGGGAGCAAGAACAACCUUUGAGGAAAAGCGUAAAAAAAAAAAAAAAUAAAAAAGAAGAAACAGGAAGGGAUAAAGAGGUGCAAGGAAGAAAAAUCCGGCGGAAAAAGAAACGUGGCUGCAAGAAAGGAGAAACAAGCCUCGAGUACAAAAGAGACAAGUGAAAGAAGCUGUGAGACUGAAUGAAACGGUCAAGAGAAGGACGAAAUAAAAGAGGAAGCGAAUAAGAAAAAAAUUCAACGUACGAGGAAAAGGGAAAAAAAGAGAGAAAGAGAGAAAAGGGGGGAAAAAAGAAAUAUACGCGAGCAUGGAAAGAACUACGAAAAUAAAGUAAAAUGAGCAAAACGAACGACUGAACGAGGAACCUUGAGAGAGAUUGAAGGACUCAAAGAGGAGAGUGUGGGUGGUGGUUGCUCCCAGGCCAAUGUUCGCCAACGUCUCCCAGCCCAUUCUGAAGUCUAUUACGGAUUCCGUGGAAUUAUGCCGAUUAGCCGAGGUUCCCCGGAAUUUACACCGGACUAGCGUUCAAUGCUAGCCUCCGCGGCAAAAUCUCAUCUCGUGGAAAUAAUUAAAACCCAUACCUACGCUGGCUCAGAUCCCUCCAACACCAGUUUUUCAUCUCGACUACCUGUCGCUUCGGUCUUCGACGUGAUCCAAACGGCGAAUAAGAGCCAAGAUGGAUUAUAAGUGAGAGAGGGCGCCACGAGUUGAGUCGCGAAUCUUUGAUCUGAAUCGUAAAAUAGAUUAAUCUGAAUAAACGUGAAUAAACGUUUGUGGUUGUGAAUUUUGAUAUAAAUUAUAAAUAAAUAUUUGGAUCGUGUGUAGGCGAUUGUAAUACGAUUGUGAAUCUUAAAAUUAAAUUGUAUAAUAAUUACUUGGGAUCGCGUUUCUUCGUAAUUGUGACUCUUGAUUAGGUUAGGUUUGUUUAAAUAAGAGCUUGGGUCGUAAUUUUCUUGUAAUUUGACAGUGAAUCGUUGAUUUAGAACAGACGUGAAUAGUUUUAAUGUUUUAGUGUGUGUGGUUGAGAAGGGAAUUCGAUAGUAGACAAUCUGAAAAAUCUUUGGCAAUCUGGAUAUUCCGAGGGGAAUACAUUAGAUUGCUUUAUUUGUGUCAGUCUCUUAAAGCGAUGAAAAGUUUUCAAAGUUAUGCAAAGCUAUGCGAUUUGACGAUCAGGAUUCUGUGGUAAAGUCAUUCGAUGUGAUUCUUGAUGAGAAAGACAUUUAUAUUACCGUAAAGAAAUUUGAUGGUUUCGAUAUCAUCGAAUGAAAUAAUUCUUAAUCAAUUCGAAUUUCAAUUCAAUGAAUUAAUACGUAUCGCGAUAUAUUUGCUAAAUAUAAUAUUCUUUUAUAUUCUUUUAUAUUCUUUUUUAAGUAAUAAACGUGAUAAUAUAAUAUAUCGAAGAUAAUAAUAAAUUGAAGAAAAAAAUAAUUUUAUUCGUAAAAUAAUACGAAUAAGAUACGAAUAAACGAUAUAUAUCGAUAAACGAUACUCUCGGAAAUAACGAUACAUAUCGAUAUUUUUCAACUUGCUCUCGAACGAAUUGAAAAUCGAAUCGUUCUCAGUAGUCGUCAAUAUGGCCGCCAUUGAUUAACGGAGUCUUGAUCGUCUCGUGUUUAGUGCGAUAACGAAAUAUAUAUUAUGCAAAUGUGUUUGUCGUGCUUCGUCAUCAAAUUCGGGAUUCUCUCGGAAGUGUGGACAGGGCUCGGGCUACACAGUGCCGAUAGCAUUAUUAUAUUAUUCGGCUAAUGUUAUUGCUGUGUUAUGCGUUGGCCAAUUAAUAAUAUGGCGGCCAUGGGCGAAUUGCGUUUUACACAGAAGCUCUCUCUCGCCUUCUCUUUAUGCGGUAUCAGGAUGGAAUCGACUUCACGAUAAAAUUGAUUAACGCAACACCAGUAGUGGCCAACCACACUUUAUUGUUUUAAACAGAUCACGCGAGGUGUACGUAUUACAUUGACACAGGUAAAUGGAAUAGAAACUGGUUCGAAUGAAAGUUUUGCUAAAAUGGCGGAUAGAGUCAAACUUCGAGAAUCACGAUAUUCGUUCGGUUAAAGUGCAAGAGACAAUGGCGGAAAAACACGAUCGUGGAAUUAAUUGCUCGAACUUGUUAACUUUAGAAGAAUACGAAAAAAGAAUAGGCACCUUAGAAGGAUACCUGAAAAGAAUACGAAUACGACGAAAGGUAAUCGUCCAAAUAUAACCAAAGAUGGCAAAUACGCUACACCCAUAUUAUCUUAUCACCUAUUCUCAUUCAAUCAUCCUCGAAAUUACACCCUCCUUUCCAAAUGACGAUCAGAUAAAAAUCGGAUGAAAACGAUCGACGAUCGAAAAGAGAAUCGACGAGAUAACUCGACGAUCGUAUCAACGACGUGACGAGGAAACGACGUGGUCGAUGGCGGCGCGCAAGGCCGGUGGUCGAACUGAAUUUUACGAGGAUAUUUACAUGGCCGCAAUAUUUUAUAGGGCACUUGAUGCCGGGUCACGUUCUCCUGUCCCUCAGUGGCGAGGCGGCCACCUAUGAAUCAAAGCGCCGCGUUUAAAGAUUUCUUUCUCAUACCGUGGCCACGGAUAAGGUACCUCGCCUGGAAUAUCUUACGCGCUAUCUUACGGCUUUUCUUAUCGUUUCCUCUCAUCCUUUCCUUCUCAUCGCUUCCCUCCAUCCCCGUUCUCCAUCUCGUCUUUCAACGUUCAGGGGAUGGUCUGUUUGUUGGCAACGCGCUGAGAGAAAGAGAAAGAGAGAAAGGAAAGGGAAGGAAGGAAGCCACUUGAAAUUGGAAACGCGGAGAAAACGGUCGGGUUGUUACGUUGUCGCGUGCGAUCCUGUUCCCGGGUUGAUCCUGCACGCGUGGGAAUAAAAAGAGGAAAAGGCGUAUCUCACGGUGGUAAUUUUUGUUCCAGGCUUGUUGUUGGAGAUCUUCUUUUUUUCUUCUUUUGGGAUUUGAAAGGAUUUGAUUGAAGAUCGAUCAGAGAUUGAAGGAAUUGGAAAUCUGGUUCACAGUUCUCUUGGAAACAAGAGUUUUCUUCGAUCAUUUUGUCUCGGAGUGACAAAAAAAUCAACGAAAAGUACAGGAAUAGGAGUAUAAAAUUUAAUGGGCACAAUACAUGGGAAGAUUUGUAAUAAAACAGAUGACUAUAGAUUAAGCACCAGUUUCUGAGACAUCCUGAAUCCCUAAUUUUAUGCUUGCAAUCGCGUUGAUAUUCCGUUUAAUCAAUUUGAAAAAAAACCUUUCUUUACAAUCCAUCCAAGUAACAUUUUCAACGAUAAUGACAAAAAUCGAUGACAUCAUAGAUAUCAUUCGAAAAGCGACAUUGGAAACGAGAAGGGAAGGAGUUAGAUUUGUUCAAAUGAUAAUAAUUAAAACCAGUUUGAAUAUGCACGAAAUUAAAAAUUCCUCGAUAAUCCAUAAAAAGCGAGGAACGUUCGUCGAGAAUCGGAGAACAGCAGGAAGUCUGGAAAAUUUCACGGGAUCCCAAAAUGCACAGGUGUAAAUAUCAAUGGGGCGAUGUGCACACGCUUAAAACGGCGCGCUUUAAUUUCACGCGGUGGAACCUCGGCGGCGAAUGCAAUUACUCUUGCAAUCAAUUUAGAUAACUCGCAGUAGAACCGGCGCGUAAUUGUUAAUGCGAUUAUCCGGCUCAGCUGGCAACUUGUGUAAACUGGAAUAACGGUCAAGAAGAAACUGCUCGAAAGACCGCCCUCUCCCCUCCUUUUUUUCCAUCCUGAAAUUCGUCUUCGUUUGUCGAUGUCCUCGAAAAAAAGGGAAAAAAAGAACAUUCUCGUCGAGUUCGAGCUCGGACUUGGAGUAUUAAUUUUUUUAACCGAGAUAUUUUCAACUUCUCAAAUGAAGAAGCCAGAAUUUACGAGAAUCUAAUAUGGUAAUAAACAACCGGAGAGUAUAUUAUUAAUAAAAACUGGAGAACGUUUUUAUAUGAUGUGACGGUACGAAUACAACGAGAUAAAUACGAGAUUUUCUUAACGAGUUAUUGAAAAAAAAAAGAAACUUUGUAAAGAUAA